AUGAGCCUUGACAAAACUGUGGACAGCAUACUGCUAAGCCUCACAUUGUUCAGCCUUCUGAUUUUCCUUGGAAGUUUGCUGAUAUGUGCGUGUAGAAGGUAUAGAUUCCUGGAAGUUAUAACCAUGCCCUUUCCAGCUCCUACAGAUAAAGUUACAACGUGGUUAGCUACAGAUGAGACUCACCAUCAGAAACAAAAUUCAGUGCAAAUGGAGAUGCAGUCAGAGGUCAUACUGAGAAUAUCAGAAGAUAAUGGAGAUGAGGACAUUCAACAACAUACACAUUUGAAAGAAUCUGAAGACCUGAAUUAAUGCCUCCUUAGAGGAACUUGGUCAAAGCAGGGACUAGACAGGCAAAAGAGUAAUGCAUGUGUGUCAGACUGGAGUUUCCAAGACUUGCUGAAAUUUUAAUAGAUCUUCCUGGCAUGUGUAAUGGAUAAAUGAGUGAAAGAAGCUAACCCAAGAAAAGUGAACAGACAGAUCAAAACUGGUACCACAUCAUCUGGCUGGGGACUUUGCUAAUGUGACAAAACUGAUAAGAGUCUAUAGCAGCAUAUAGAUGUCCAGGUAAUACAGGAGGAAAUACAUUCUAGUGCUACCUCUUGUGUAACAGCCUCCUCACCCACUUUUCUCUGCCACAGAAGGCCCGCUACUUCUGCCUCUGAUGUGCGGACAGAGGUGGCUAAUGUCAUGUGAGGUGCACCAAGCAUGCGGAGUGACAGGAGCAGGUCUUAUUAGUAAGUGGGGAGGAGGCAGGC
rnacentral:lncRNA from 1 species